UACAGAGGUCUCAAGCGUUGUUCGGAUUCAUUGGGCGUAAAGGGUGCGUAGGUGGCGCCGUAAGUCAGGUGUGAAAUUUCGGAGCUUAACUCCGAAACUGCAUUUGAUACUGCGGUGCUUGAGGACUGGAGAGGAGACUGGAAUUACGGUGUAGCAGUGAAAUGCGUAGAGAUCGUAAGGAAGACCAGUGGCGAAGGCGGGUCUCUGGACAGUUCCUGACACUGAGGCACGAAGGCCAGGGGAGCAAACGGGG
rnacentral:rRNA from 1 species